GAUCCUGGCUCGGGACGAACGCUGGCGGCGCGCCUAACACAUGCAAGUCGAACGAGCGAGAGAGAGCUUGCUUUCUCGAGCGAGUGGCGAACGGGUGAGUAACGCGUGAGGAACCUGCCUCAAAGAGGGGGACAACAGUUGGAAACGACUGCUAAUACCGCAUAAGCCUACGACCCGGCAUCGGGUAGAGGGAAAAGGAGCAAUCCGCUUUGAGAUGGCCUCGCGUCCGAUUAGCUAGUUGGUGAGG
rnacentral:rRNA from 1 species